rnacentral:lncRNA from 1 species
CCUCCUCCUCCACCUCUGCUCGUUCCAGUUGUACUAUGGGCUUUCCUUCAACUAUCGUUGGGGCUAUGUAGUCAAGUGCCAUACCGUGAGUCGCAAAGUGAUUCUUCUGAAAUAGUGUUGACCAGGCCUUCUUAGGUUCCUCUGCUUUGUUUUGGGUAAUCUCUGGUUGUUCUUCAGUUGGUAUUUCUGGUUGCAUGGUC